UAAAAACAUUAUAUAUCUACAAGUGUGUUUACUAAAUACAUGUAUUAUUAUGCUAAUGUAAUUUAAUUGAUAAAGGUUUUUUUUAUUUAAGAAAAUCUGAGCAUCACUCAAAAUAACUGUCAACAUGUUUGUCAACUAAACAUGUUUUGUAAACGUUAUACAUUUUAUAAAAAUAUUUAAUAUUUUUAUUAUUGAUAAAGUAUAAAGAACAAAUCAGUGUGAAAACGCAGAUUAUAAAAAGUACAUAAAGUGCCAGCAGAGGAUCCAAAAUAAUGAAAAAAAAAAAAACAUCCAAUGCAACUUGGAAAUUGUAGUCAAAAUACAUCUACAGCAGCAUGCUAAAGCAGUACCAACGCCAGGGCAAAAGACUCAAAUUCCCAGAAUGCACCUGCACCCACCCAUUCAUUCCCACCAAUCAGGAUCAACGGCAUUUUUCAAACCGCUACUGACUCGUUUUCAUGCUAAACAGUACGGCUGAGGUAAGUUUGACUUUCAUUCCUUUACAUCGCGCAGAUCUGUUCCAUAUUUGUUCCUAUUUUGUUCUUCACUGUGAUUAUUUUUGUCUUUAUGCGAGAAGUGUUUUAAUUUAAAGCACACACAGGAAACAUUAAGAAGGUCAUGUACCAUGUGGUCGACCUUGCUGACGCUGAAGAGGUUUCUGUGUAAAAAUGAUGACAUUGAGACAAACAGACCAGUUCUGGCUGCCGUGGAGGUCAACACACCACUGAUCUACUGGCUGCCCUUCAACGUGAUGCCCAGCCGAUGCCUGACCACCGACGGAACUAGGGCUGCACGAUAAGUCGCAUGUGUUUGUCAGGCGCAUCUCCUCAGUAAUGCCGGUUCCUUGAUUAGUAUUAAAUCGCCAUCAGCUGUUUUCAGAUGUAGCAGCUUUAACUACACAGAGCCGUAGUUCACUGACAAUCGGGGCAAUUUCGCAUUAAUUAUCGCGGACGUAUCGGCUGCGAUAUGUAUGCGAUAUGGCCCAGCUUGUCAGGGAACUACGGCUCUGUAGUUAAAGCUGCUCCAUC